AGGAGUGAGACUCUAUCUCAAAACAAACAAACAACAAAAGUAUUUAUUGAAUGAAUGAAUGGAGUUGGUAUAAAUAAUGGACAGCUAACUAUAAAAGAUUCAAAUAAUAAGUAUAUUUUACUUCAGCAUAAAAUGUCAGCAUUUUCUUAAGCUGUAAUCUCAGUGUUCAUUUUAUUUUAAUAAACAAUUCAUAUCCUAUUCUCACAGCUGUCUUACGCAGUGUCCUCCAUUAAUGCCAGAGUGAUUUGAGACAGUACUUGAUUCUGGGUGUGAGAACCAGUCAUUGCUUCAUUCUGAAAAUAACUAACAGAUUCUAAUUAGAAGACUAGAUUCUCUGCAACUCCUAAUACUUUCUGUAAUUCCUCUGAUAUAUAUUUAAAAUGUUUCAACUAUGAGAGGCUGACAAGACAUUCACUUAAAGUGGUGAAAUACAUAAACCUUUAAAAUGACUAGACUGAGCCUUGAAGUGAAAUCUAUUUUCUGCCCUAAGUGUUUCCAUUGUGUACAAUUCCCUCGGAAUGGUAGGCAGCUGCCAUUUAGAACUCUGUGAUGAAUAAAGAAAAAUCUAUAUGGAAACAGAAAUACUAUAGAAAUAUUAUACUCUCCAGGCAAAGAAAAGUGGGUGAUUGAGGCAAAUGCACCGAUAAUUUGGGGUCAGGGAGAACACUUGUCUGAAUUACACAGAAAAUGUUUUCAUAACCUUCAACUUUUUAAUCACAGAAACAUGCACUAAUAUGCAAAACAAGUGUGACAGAAUCAUGGGAUAAAAGUAUUUACUUGAAAGGUCUAAAAUAUCAUCAAAGUCUACCAUCUACCCAAUAUUUUAAUUCAUAUCAUACAAUUCCUAUCAGGAGGUUACCUAAUGAUGAGGACGUCACUGCCUCUUACGGAGCAUAUUUCAUCUUUGGGCAGCUCUGAUUAUUCUUUAAAUCUUUCACUGAACACCAGAUGGCCAUCUGAAGUGCUGUGAUACCAUACUUUAAAAAAAAUUGUUCAAGGACACAAAGUUGAUUUGAGAGAAGUUAAUGAAAUUACUACUCUCAGAGCUUCUGCUGAAAAGCACAUUUUCAUUUCUGGCCAAUCUACAGCUUUCUAAAGGGAGUCACUUGAGAAAAUGUCUUAAGGCAAAAAAAAAAAAAAAAAAAAAAAAUCCCAUGGGAGGAAUAAAUGUAUGUGUCUUCUAUAAAAAAAGUUUCCAUCGUUGUUACUUUGUGGUCACCUUGACAAGAACAGUAACCACAAGCAUUCAUUUCAUUCUUUACAUAAUUUUAUUAACUUCAGGCAUGAUGUAUAUAAGCUGCAACUAUCUAUUUAAGCAGAUCUCCAAAAAUAAAAAAUAACACAUAUACCCUUUCACCCAGAAAUUCCACUUCCUGGGAUUCAUUCUUUCUAUUUAAAUAAACCUGACCUUGAGUUAACUCUCUAGUUCUGUUCCCCUGGAAACCUAAUAAAGGUGAAUGUCGACUGUGUUACCAGGUAACAGUACCUAAGAAAAAAAGACCUCCUGAUAUGCCUCUAAACUUGGGACGACUGCAAAUCAACAUGAAUACCUGUUGGUAAGCCACAGUUUGGAUUUGGACUCCCCUGUGUGCAGUCUAUGCAAUGUUAGAACAGAAGGUCUGACCAUGGACUCAAGAGCUGACGUUAGGAAUGUCAGCACCAUCCUGCUCUCCAAGGACUCCUCAUCUUCAACAGACUCCUCAUCUUCAAAGGAAAGGGUGGAAACUGCAACUUGUGCCAUGAUCCCUGCGUGAGAAAAGUAGUAAGAAAUCCUACCCGACCAUAGAAUGUUAGAACAGAAGGUCUCACCGUGGACUCAAGAGCUGACAUGAAGAAUGUCACCACCAUCCUGCUCUCCAAGGACUCCUCAUCUUCAAUGGACUCCUCAUCUUCAACGGACUCCUCAUCUACAACGGGCAGGGUGGAAACUGCAACUUGUGCCAUGAUCCCUGCGCAAGAAAAGUAGUAAGAAAUUGAGUGGUAGAAAUCCAGUGUCCUAAACUCACAUCCAGAGCUGUGAGAGUUUUUCACAGGCUGGCUAAUUCAGAGUUUUCUUGCAUCAGAGGAAAAGUAAGACUCGGAAACUUGGUAUUCGAUUUGCCCAAAACUCUCAUUAGAUAGAGAAUCCAUCCGCUAACUUUCUAUCUAGUAUUAUUUCCAUAAAGUUAGAUCAAUAUCACUCCCAAAAUAAAUCCACGUGGCAACCAGAAUCAGUGCAUUUCUCCCAAGUACAAGAGGAGGUGGCCGAGCGUGGUGGUUCACGCCUGUAAUCCCAGCACUUUUGGAGGCCGAGGAGGGUGC
rnacentral:lncRNA from 1 species